CUUUGUAAAUGAGCAACAGGAUCAGAAAUUAUGAUCCUCAGGGAAGCCUGGAGAUGCGAGCUUCCACAGCCGGCGGGUCAGCGGCACAGGUGGGCAACCUGGCAGAAGCGGCGAGAACAGCAGGAUUCGAUCAAGCCGUUACAGGGCCAGUUUGUGCUGGCUCAGCCGGUGCGAGGAUGCGUCCUAGCCAUUCCAUUCAAUUCACAAGGUGCCCCCAAAGAAGGAAGCAUUGGGGGGCUUGGCUGUUUUAAAGGAUUUCAACCGAAGAUCUUUGAAUAUUCCACUGGCUUAUGAAUCCAUAUGCAUCUGAAUUGGAUACACAGAGCCCUCAUUGGAUCUUAAGGAAAAUAUUUGCCUUGCAGUGUGACCUUUGCCCGUGACGAGGCUGUGCGCUGCACUUCCUGAGAGCUGAGUGGGUUCCUCAGAGCUGACUGACUCUCUGGGGAGGAGGCAUGAGGAGGAGAAACGAAAAUGAACGUUUCUCCAGCAUCCACCCUCCACUGGCGCUUCAGUGAACUCCCACAGCGUCCCGGAAGGUGUGAUGUGUCCUCCUCCUCCUACGGGCGAGCAAAUAGGCCAAGAAGAAAGCCAGUGGCCCAGCCCACAGCCCAGGGCAGAAGAGCCAGGAUCAAGUUCAGAUCUGCCUCCCUCCAACGCCCUGGUUCUGUCCCCCUCAUCAUGCCGACCGUGUGCAGCUGACGCUGCGGGAAUGAAAGUCACAAGGGGGCAGGCCUCAGGAAUAUGUUCUUCCUGCACAACUGGAAUGUCCUCUGUGAUGACACAGAGCACCCUCCCAGCUCUGCACACCGAACCCUGCUCCCCCCAACUCUGUCCGGGCCCUGCCACCUGUGGGGUGUGCAGAGAAGGGCAGGGGCAGGGCUUUCUCCUCCCCCACCCAGCUCCUGCCCCUGUGGGGUGGGGAGUAAACAGAGGGAUGUGAUUGGAGCCCCACCCCUGCCUCCACCUCCCCAGGGAUCCCGGAAAGGCUGCUAGCCCAGCCUGGGUCUCAGCUUCUGCAUCUACAAAUGAGGAUGACCCCACGUGGCCUGCCUGGGUCACAGGCGUGCUGGUGGGAUGGGUGCAAUGCCGUGGAAGUGAGUCACCUCUGCGUCCCUGUCUUGGUUCUGCGUGGAAGCUGAGAUAGGCGGUUGGGCCAGAUGAUGCGAAAGGCAGCUUUGGCUCUGCGUUCCUGAAUCAGUGAGGAGGGAGCAGCCAGUUCCCUAACUUCCCAGGACCCAGAUGCUCCAGGUCACUGCUGACUCCAACAUUUGGUCCUGAUGUCCCCAAAGUGCACUUGCACUGUCAGCCUGUGGGGUCCUGUUUUCGAUUCAGAAAGUAUGGUGUCUGGUGUACAGCACUCAGAGAUGACUGUCACAUGGCAUGGGCCAUGUCACGACUGCCUGUGACCUCAGCCCGUCGUGGGCACCUCUCUGACUCAUCCUCUGGCUCCCGCUGCCAGGAGAGAGGCUCGGGAAGACCAGUCAACGAAGGAGCCAGCGUUUGUCCUGCCUGUGUCACAGGCUUGCAGACAGGGCUCACAGCAGGUGCCCACCGACUGUGAAGGUGCUGAGCGGUGUCUCCCAACACGCCAGAAUCUAUUGCCUACGGGCACCGCCACCCCAUGAGCUGACUGGAUAACCACAGCAAACUGAGGCAGAGAUCACUACUGUUUAAUGUUUAUGAAGCAGACACUGAGGCCAGAAAUGAAAAGUGACUUGUCCAAAGCCACACAGCAAAAGAAGAAGAGAGCUGGGUGCUGGGACCCAAGGCUCUGGGAUCUAACUGUACAGAGCCAUCACUGUCAUCUGGACUGUGACUAUUUCCUGAGCACCUCCCCUGUGCCAGGUACUUCAGAAGCACGAUCUCUUCUAAUCCUCAGGUGACAAAAUGGGGGGCUCCAAAUCCCCCGCUUUCUCUUGGGGUUUGUCAGAGGCACUGACCACAGCCACUCUGUGCAGACGUGGGGAGCAGCCCCCAGGCCAGGUCCAAGGACGCAGCACAAAGCCUGGCGGCCACCUCCUGCCCAGCAAUGAGCUCUCUUCCUGGAUCACCGGGCAGGGCCCUGCCUGACACUCUCCUCCGGGCAGUCACUCGCUGGGCGGGUGGCCCCCACUAUGGCUGGGCUGACUGGCGGCAGACAGGGAGGAGCCGGCCUCUGUUGCAUCUCCACACCCAAACCUCUGCCUCACUGCUCACCUCCUCCAGGAAGCCCUCCCCCAGGAAGCCCCCCUCCCAAGAGCAUGGAGGGACCUUGGAGACCAUCCAGUCCCCGGUACCCCCUUUCACAGAUGGGGAAACUGCAGCCCGGACAGGAGGAGGCCCAUGGCAGGCCUCCCGGCCCCGGUGCAGGGCCCUUUAGGGCCCACUCUGCUGCUGUGACUACAGUCGCCACACACAACACGGGCCAUGCCUUCCACCGAGGGCCGCUGCGUUCAGAGCCUCGGGUCAGCCUUUAAAACAGGAGACCUGAGUCCCUGUUGGCCCCAUCAUUGGUACAGCCACAGCCAGCCUGGGGAGGAGGUGACUCUCCCAGGCCCGAGAGGCAGGAGUCACCCGGGAUCCUGCCGUCUCUCUGCAGGCUGUGCCCAGAUUCUUGACCCACAAAACCUCCGAGAUAAUAAAUGCUUGUUGUUUUAAGCUGCUAAAUUUCAACGGGUAUUUGUUAUGCAGCCAUAGGUAACUAACAUACCUAGUAUUUGUCUAUUUUGUGCCAGGCCCUAUGCUGCACAUACACUCAUUCAAGAUAGAUUUAUUAAGUGCCACUGUGUACGAGGCAUCGUGCCAGGUAUUGGCUUUAUGGUGGUAAACCAGACAGAUGUUGUCCACGCUUUCAAAGACCUCAAGGUUCAGUUGGGGAUUCAGACUUUAAACGGACAGUGCGAGUAGUGCCAUGGGAGCCCAGGGGAGGCAGCGGGGCCAGCCUGGAGAGGUCAGUGGAGGCUUCCUAGCAGAGGGGAUGUCUGAGACAAACCCAAGACUAAGGAGAACCUUCCAGGCAAAGGUGGAGCAAAGGACACCUCAGAAAGAGGCCGAGAGAGUGGCAAGGCGGGCUGUACGGAGACCUGGCCCACGGGGGAACAAGGGGAAAAGGAGACAGUGGCAAAAGCCUGGCUGGAAGGGGGAACGUGACAGAGGGAGGCAGAGAGGAA